rnacentral:rRNA from 1 species
UACCAGCACCCCGAGUGGUCGGGACGUUUAUUGGGCCUAAAGCAUCCGUAGCCGGUUCUACAAGUCUUCCGUUAAAUCCACCUGCUUAACAGAUGGGCUGCGGAAGAUACUAUAGAGCUAGGAGGCGGGAGAGGCAAGCGGUACUCGAUGGGUAGGGGUAAAAUCCACUGAUCCAUUGAAGACCACCAGUGGCGAAGGCGGCUUGCCAGAACGCGCUCGACGGUGAGGGAUGAAAGCUGGGGGGAGCAAACCGG